AGAGUUUGAUCCUGGCUCAGAUUGAACGCUGGCGGCAGGCCUAACACAUGCAAGUCGAGCGGAAACGAGUUAUCUGAACCUUCGGGGGACGAUAACGGCGUCGAGCGGCGGACGGGUGAGUAAUGCCUAGGAAAUUGCCCUGGUGUGGGGGAUAACCAUUGGAAACGAUGGCUGAUACCGCAUAAUACCUACGGGUCAAAGAGGGGGACCUUCGGGCCUCUCGCGUCAGGAUAUGCCUAGGUGGGAUUAGCUAGUUGGUGAGGUAAUGGCUCACCAAGGCGACGAUCCCUAGCUGGUCUGAGAGGAUGAUCAGCCACACUGGAACUGAGACACGGUCCAGACUCCUACGGGAGGCAGCAGUGGGGAAUAUUGCACAAUGGGCGCAAGCCUGAUGCAGCCAUGCCGCGUGUGUGAAGAAGGCCUUCGGGUUGUAAAGCACUUUCAGUCGUGAGGAAGGUAGUGUAGUUAAUAGCUGCAUUAUUUGACGUUAGCGACAGAAGAAGCACCGGCUAACUCCGUGCCAGCAGCCGCGGUAAU
rnacentral:rRNA from 1 species